CUGUGGACUAUGUGAUUUUAUACAUAGGAAAUCCUAAAGACUAUACCAAAACAUUUUUUGAACUAAUAAACAAAUUAAAUACAGUUGCAGGGUACAAAAUCAAUAUACAAAGAUCUCUCAUAUUCACUUUCAGCAAACUCAGAGAGAGAAAUUAAGAAAGAAAUUCCAUUUACAAUUUUAUCAAAAAGACUAAAAUACAUGGGAAUAAAUUUAACCAAAGAGAUAAUAGGCCUGUACACUGAAAAUUAUAAAAGAUUGAAGAACACACAAAUAAAUAGAUAUUCCAUGAUCAUGGAUUGGAAGAAUCAAUAUUGUUACAAUGUCCAUAUUACCCAAAGCAAUCUGCACAUUCAAUGCAAUGCUGAUCAAAAUCCAAUGGUAUUUCUCAGAGAAACAGAUCCUAAAUUUUGAAUAGAACCACAGAAGACUCCAAUCAGCCAAAGCAAUAUGGAGAGAGAUUAACAAAGCUGGAGGCAUCAUUGUUCCCUGAUUUUAGACUACAUUACAAAUCUAUAGUAAUUGAAACAGCAUGAUAUUGUCAUAAAAACAGACAUAUAGCUCAAUGGAAAAGAAUAGAGAGGCCACAAAUAAAUCCCCACAUAUAUGGCCGAGUACAUAGCCAAAGGAGCAAGAAUAUAAAGUUGGGAAAAGAGUCUCUUCAAUAGAUUAUGUUCUGCAAACUGGUGACAGACCAGGCAAAAGAAUACAACUGGACUACUAGCCUAUGCCAUGUGCAAAAUUAACUCAAAAUGGAUGAAGGACUUAAAUAUAAAACCAGAAAUCAUAAAACUCCCAGAAGUCAAUAUUAGCAGUAAACUCCUUGACAUUGGUCUUGGCAAAGAUUUUUCGUAUCUGAUUCCAAAAGCAAAGGAAAAAAUAAGUAAAUGGGACUACAUCAAAAUAAGAACCUUCUGCAUAGCAAACUGUCAACAAAACAAAAAGAAAACCUGCUGAAUGGGAGAAAAUAUUUGCAAAUCCUUUAUCUGAUAAGUGGUUAUUAUCUAAAAUAUAUAAAGAACACAUAAAAUUCAAAGUGAAAACAAAACAAUUUGAUUACAAAAUGGGCAGAGGAUCUGAAUAGACAUUUUUCAAAGAUAACAUACAGAUGGUCAAUAGAUCAUUUAAAAAUGUUCAACAUCACUAAUCAUCAUGGAUAUGCAAUUCAAAAUCACAAAGAGGCAUCACCUCACACGUGUUAGAAUGACUAAGAUCAAAAAGGCAAGAAAUAACAAGUGUUGGUGAGGAUGAGGAGAAAAGGACACACUUGUGCACUGUUAGUGGGAAUGUAUACUGGUACAGCCACUAUGGGAAAUAGUAUGGAGGGUCCUCAAAAAAGUUAAAAGGAGAACCACCAGAAAAUCCAGCAAUUCCACGUCUGGGUGGAAUCCAAAGAAAAGAAAAACACUAAUUUGAAAUCAUAUAUGCACCCCUAUGUUUAUAUAUAUAUAAUAUUAUAUACACACAAUGGAAUAUUACUUAGCCAUAAACAAUGAAAUCUUGCCAUUUAUGGAAACUUGGAUAGAUGGACCUAGAAGUAUUAUGCUAAGGAAAUAAAGCAGAGAAAGACAAAUACUAUAUGAUUUCACUUAUAUGUAGACUCUAAACACCAAACCAAACAGUCAGAACAAAGCCAGACUUAUAGAACUGACUGAUGCUUGCCAGAGGGGCAGGUUUUGGUGGGGAACAAAAUGAGUAAAGGAGGUAAAGAGGUACAAACUUCCAGUUAUAAAAUACAUAAGUCAUGGGGAUGUAAUGUAUAGCAUAGUGUACAUUAUGAUAAUAUUGCAGUGCAUAUUUGAAAAUAACUGAAAGAAUAUAUCGUAAAGUUUUUAUUAUUCACACAUACACAAAGUUCUAACUUUGUUAUGGUGGCAGAUGGUAACUAGACUUAUUGUGGUGAUCAUUUCAGUGUGCACAAAUAUUGAAUCAUUAUGUUAUAUACCUGCAACUGAUAUAAUGUUAUAUUUCAGUUAUACUUCAAAUAAAAAAAAGAAAAUUCCAGGAGAUAGUGAAGGACAAGGAAGCCUGGUGUGCUGCAGUCCAUGGGAUCGCAAAGAGUUGGACAUGAUUGAGCAACUAAACAACAAAAAUAGAAAAAAGAUGGAGUCAAGCAUCAUUAGUGAGGUGGAUUCUUUAUCGCUGAACCAUUGGGGAACUAACCCUCAGGUUGAGAAUGUUCAAAGAGUUGGAGUCGAACCUGCGUUCCAUCAACGACAGGAGCGAGUGAAAUUGCAACUUGCCCUCCCAUCUUUCAUUGCUGAGGAUCAUUCAGUUCUAUCAUCUCCCACCUCCUCUCCCUCCUCCAGGCAGUAACUCUUCUUGCCUGUUCACUCGAUGCCAGUCCCUGUAUGCCAGCUAUUGUAUUGUACAACUAUACUUUUCUAAGUAGUGUACUGUAAAAUUAAAAAUGUUUUCUUUA